GCGAUGCCGCGUGAGUGAAGAAGGCCCUUGGGUUGUAAAGCUCUUUCGUCGGGGAAGAAAAUGACUGUACCCGAAUAAGAAGGUCCGGCUAACUUCGUGCCAGCAGCCGCGGUAAUACGAAGGGACCUAGCGUAGUUCGGAAUUACUGGGCUUAAAGAGUUCGUAGGUGGUUGAAAAAGUUAGUGGUGAAAUCCCAGAGCUUAACUCUGGAACUGCCAUUAAAACUUUUCAGCUAGAGUAUGAUAGAGGAAAGCAGAAUUUCUAGUGUAGAGGUGAAAUUCGUAGAUAUUAGAAAGAAUACCAAUUGCGAAGGCAGCUUUCUGGAUCAUUACUGACACUGAGGAACGAAAGCAUGGGUAGCGAAGAGGAUUAGAUACCCUCGUAGUCCAUGCCGUAAACGAUGUGUGUUAGACGUUGGAAAUUUAUUUUCAGUGUCGCAGGGAAACCGAUAAACACACCGCCUGGGGAGUACGACCGCAAGGUUAAAACUCAAAUGAAUUGACGGGGACCCGCACAAGUAGUGGAGCAUGUGGUUUAAUUCGAAGAUACGCGCAGAACCUUACCAACACUUGACAUGUUCGUCGCGACUCUAAGAGAUUAGAGUUUUCGGUUCGGCCGGACGAAACACAGGUGCUGCAUGGCUGUCGUCAGCUCGUGUCGUGAGAUGUUGGGUUAAGUCCCGCAACGAGCGCAACCCUCACUUUUAGUUGCCAUCAUUAAGUUGGGCACUCUGAAAGAACUGCCAGUGAUAAGCUGGAGGAAGGUGGGGAUGA
rnacentral:rRNA from 1 species